rnacentral:rRNA from 1 species
UACGAAGGGGGCUAGCGUUGCUCGGAAUCACUGGGCGUAAAGGGUGCGUAGGCGGGGCUUUAAGUCAGGGGUGAAAUCCUGGAGCUCAACUCCAGAACUGCCUUUGAUACUGAAGAUCUUGAGUCCGGGAGAGGUGAGUGGAACUGCGAGUGUAGAGGUGAAAUUCGUAGAUAUUCGCAAGAGCACCAGUGGCGAAGGCGGCUCACUGGCCCGGUACUGACGCUGAGGCACGAAAGCGUGGGGAGCAAACAGG